rnacentral:rRNA from 1 species
UACAGAGGGGGCAAGGGUUGUUCGGAAUUACUGGGCGUAAAGGGCGCGUAGGCGGCCUUCUAAGUCGAACGUGAAAUCCCCGGGCUCAACCCGGGAACUGCGUCCGAUACUGGAAGGCUUGAAUCCGGGAGAGGGAUGCGGAAUUCCAGGUGUAGCGGUGAAAUGCGUAGAUAUCUGGAGGAACACCGGUGGCGAAGGCGGCAUCCUGGACCGGCAUUGACGCUGAGGCGCGAAAGCCAGGGGAGCAAACGGG